GACGGAUGGGGCAAGCGUUGUUCGGAAUCACUGGGCGUAAAGCGCGUGUAGGCUGUUCGAUAAGUCGAGUGUGAAAGCCCGAGGCUCAACCUCGGAAGUGCAUUCGAAACUGUCGGGCUUGAGUACGGGAGAGGGAAGUGGAAUUCCUGGUGUAGAGGUGAAAUUCGUAGAUAUCAGGAGGAACACCGGUGGCGAAGGCGGCUUCCUGGACCGAUACUGACGCUGAGACGCGAAAGCGUGGGGAGCAAACAGG
rnacentral:rRNA from 1 species